UCUUUGGCAAAAGGAACCCAUUCUUUGUGUUACAACUGAAUCAAGCAGUAUCUAAACAGAGCGUUCAGAGGUUGUUUAGAAAGAAUCGGCCAGAUCACAGUUGCCCUUCUACGUCAGCAAAGGCAAGUUAAGAUUUUUGGUUUAACUGACUCAAUUGUAACACAAGGGAUGGAUGCCUUUUGCCAAAGAAGAAUUAUCUUUUCUGCAACAAUCUUGACAAUUUGUUUAAUUUAUUUUAAUGUGUGUGUGUGUGU